AACGAACGCUGGCGGCGUGCCUAACACAUGCAAGUCGAACGGGAAAACCCGCAAGGGUGAGUACAGUGGCGCACGGGUGCGUAACACGUGGGUAAUCUGCCCAGAAGCCCGGAAUAACUCCCCGAAAGGGGUGCUAAUGCCGGAUGAGACCACGGGGACUUCGGUUCCUGGGGGAAAAGGUGGCCUCUGUAUACAAGCUAUCACCUCUGGAUGAGCCCGCGGCCCAUCAGCUAGUUGGCGGGGUAAUGGCCCACCAAGGCUACGACGGGUAGCUGGUCUGAGAGGACGAUCAGCCACACUGGAACUGAGACACGGUCCAGACUCCUACGGGAGGCAGCAGUGGGGAAUCUUGCGCAAUGGGCGAAAGCCUGACGCAGCAACGCCGCGUGUGUGAUGAAGGUCUUCGGAUCGUAAAGCACUGUCGGGAGGGACGAAUAAGGGCCGGGUGAACAAUCCGGUUCGACGACGGUACCUCCAGAGGAAGCACCGGCUAACUCUGUGCCAGCAGCCGCAGUAACAC
rnacentral:rRNA from 1 species